GGCUGGUUAGCUCAGUUGGUUAGAGUAUGGUGCUCAUAUCACUAAGGUUGCGGGUUUGAUCCCUGUACCAGCCA